rnacentral:lncRNA from 1 species
CUUGGCCAAAGUCCAGCCCAUUCCACCUUCCUGGACAAUGGGUAAUUUUUUUUUUCCCCCUGCUUGCCUGCAGCAGCUGCCACACAUCUUCAGAGUGAAUUGACCCAUGGGGAUGGACCCAUCUCCCCCAGCUCCCAUGGGAAAUGGGAAUCAGAAGCAGCCCUUGCCUCCCAUUCCCACACCGCUCCGCUGGCCGCCGGCGCUGCAGCAGCGAGGAGGAAAUGCCAGGGCUUAAGUGAUUUAGCUUGGGGAAUGAGUGAAAUCUACUUACAUGAGCUAAUUGAUAGCAAAUGAUUCCUUAAUUAGAAAUUAUGGAAUUGCCCCCUAAUUUACGAGGAAGAACAGGACCAGUGCAUUGAGGAGCUGAGGGGUGUUUCCCAUGGUUGUCAGAGAUUUUUCUUCGGAGAUGCUUUUGCCAAUUAACUUUUCAUGACAUAAAUUUGUUUGCCUUAAAAUAUCCAGUUAGAAGCAUUUGCAAAUGCAUUAUUUAAGGCUUGAAAAUAAAUAUUGGAUGCUCAGGCUGUGCAUUGUGAGAGCUCUGAGCCGCGUGGCUUCUCACUCAAUUAUUGAUCGCACUUUCUGCUGCCCUCGAGACGUUCCUGCAUCCAGAAGGGAAAAUCCCAGCUUGUUUACUUGCUCCUUCCAUGUCUCAAAGUCUCCAAAAAACUCACUCAGCAAUGGAUUUGGGGAUGUUUUUAACUUUUACAUCUCCGUUGAUGUGGGUUUUCUGGUGUUUAAUGAGGUAUGAGCACCUCAUGUUCCUUGCCAAGACAUUUACAGAUGUUUUUCUAUAUAAAUUUUUGCCAGUGCAGAUUUAUCUUUGUGUCAGAUCUGACUGUAAAUAGAACCACUGAAUCAUGAGGGCUGGACAGGACCUCCAUGAUGCUCAAUUCCAACCCUUGAAGGCUCCUCAGGAAGUGUGGUGGCUUGGACCUCACCUUCAGCAAACAUCAGCACGGAGACAUGAUGAAAACUCAGAGCCAGGGAGGGCAGCCGAGCAAGCUCCUCGAUCCGCCCUGACCUUGGGACAUAAUGGGGCAUUGAAAACAAAUCCGGCGACACAGAAAGGAAGUGUGUUCCACCAGGCCAGAGGAGGCAUUGAGGGAAGGAACAGCCAAGUGGUUAUCUCUGACUGGCUUAAAUCUCAGCCAGGCAGAGCUUGGGACAAGCCAGGCUUUGUCAGGAGAGCGCUGGGCAGGGUAGUGUGUGGCACUGUACCUGGAUAUUUAACAUCAUUUUAGAAUGACAAAACUCACUUGGGAUGCUCUUCCUCCUUGGCAGGGUGGAAAAAACACCCAGGACAGGCACCUGUGUGGCAAAGCAGCCACCCUGUCCUCGUCCUUGGGGGCUGCUCCAGGAUGCCUGGUGAAGUAGGGACAGUGAUUAUGGAUUUCAAACCCUGCCAGGGGAAACGAGGGAAAUCUGAGCAUCAGCAUCACUGCUUUGUCCCCCUGGUCCUGGCAAUAAAUGUCCCCAGUUUUAUCUCUGCA